rnacentral:rRNA from 1 species
UACGUAGGGUGCGAGCGUUAAUCGGAAUUACUGGGCGUAAAGCGUGCGCAGGCGGUUCGUUAAGUUCGUUGUGAAAGCCCCGGGCUCAACCUGGGAACUGCAAUGGAAACUGGCGGGCUUGAGUAUGGCAGAGGGGGGUGGAAUUCCGCGUGUAGCAGUGAAAUGCGUAGAGAUGCGGAGGAACACCGAUGGCGAAGGCAGCCCCCUGGGCCAAUACUGACGCUCAGGCACGAAAGCGUGGGGGAGCAAACAGG